UUCAGUUUCAAUUUUAGUGGAUUUAGAAAGAGUUGAAGCUCUUAAAUAUGAUUCUAUAGUUUUUGAUGUGCCAACAGUAUUAAAUGAGAGGCAGAGUGGUAGCAGAAACAUGCAUUGAUCCUUGACAAGGACCUUAAUUUCAAAGGAAUUGAUCAUCUUGGCUAUCUUCGUCAAGCAUUUGAAGUUGGAUCCUUCAAUUAUUUUCUUGAAAGUGAGAUACUAAAUGGUUCUGAAUUUGAUGGGCACUGGUGGCUCCUGCAGGUUAAAAAUUCUGGCUUGGAUAGGCACAUUGAAACUAACUUAUGG